GACGAACGCUGGCGGCGUGCUUAACACAUGCAAGUCGAACGAUGAAGCCCAGCUUGCUGGGUGGAUUAGUGGCGAACGGGUGAGUAACACGUGAGUAACCUGCCCUGGACUCUGGGAUAACCCCGAGAAAUCGGAGCUAAUACCGGAUAGGACCUUUCCUCGCAUGAGGUUUGGUGGAAAGUUUUUCGGUUUGGGAUGGACUCGCGGCCUAUCAGCUUGUUGGUGAGGUAAUGGCUCACCAAGGCGUCGACGGGUAGCCGGCCUGAGAGGGUGACCGGCCACACUGGGACUGAGACACGGCCCAGACUCCUACGGGAGGCAGCAGUGGGGAAUAUUGCACAAUGGGCGAAAGCCUGAUGCAGCAACGCCGCGUGAGGGAUGACGGCCUUCGGGUUGUAAACCUCUUUCAGUAGGGAAGAAGCGAAAGUGACGGUACCUGCAGAAAAAGCACCGGCUAACUACGUGCCAGCCGCCGCCGUAAUAC
rnacentral:rRNA from 1 species